GCUAAUUUUCUUCAAGCUGUUGUUGACUACAAGAAGAAGAUUGGAUUCAACGGAACACUAUUGAUAGAGCCUAAACCACAGGAACCAACAAAACACCAGUAUGACUGGGAUGUUGCGACUACGUUUGCUUUUCUACAGAAGUACGGUCUUACAGGAGAGUUCAAGAUUAAUGUUGAGUGCAACCAUGCUACUCUAUCUGGACACAUGAAAG